rnacentral:misc_RNA from 1 species
GAUGAAGAACGCAGUGAAAUGCGAUAAGUAGUGUGAAUUGCAGAAUUCAGUGAAUCAUCGAAUCUUUGAACGCACAUUGCGCCCCUUGGUAUUCCAUGGGGCAUGCUUGUUCGAGCGUCAUUUGUACUCUCAAGCUCUGCUUGGUGUUGGGUGUUUGUCCUUUCCCUGCGUUAGGACUCGCCUCAAAUUCAUUGGCAGCCGAUAUAUUGGUUUGAAGCGCAGCACAAUUUGCGAUUCGGGCUGGUUAUUGUUGGCGUCCAGUAAGCACAUUUAACACUUUUGACCUCGGAUCAAGUAGGGAUACCCGCUGAACUUAAGCAUAUCAAUAAGCGGAGGA